GACCUGCAAAAUAAACAGUCAUGUGUCGCUCUAUGAUAGAAAACAAACACAGCCCUCUUAUUUGUGCGCACGCUCCCAUUAUUUAAGUCUUGGUGAAACUGUGAAAUAUUCAGAAAGGGAUGGUAUGAGGAGUGCCAUGUGGUAAAUCGUGCACAAUUUUAGCAGCAAGAGCAGCAAGUUCCCACCAAAGGCAGAACAUCCUUCCUCUGAGAGAGUCUUGCUAGUCACCAUCCGAGCUUUAAUAGGAUCAAUGCCUGGAAGAAUGACAGAAGGAAAAUGAGAAACAGAGAAAACGAUGUGAAGACCAUGAAGUGACAGAAGUCAGUGUUGAACUGGCCAAGGUUUUUUUAAACAUCUCCUAAGAAGGCGUUGGUUCACACCAAGCAAGGAGAGUAGAAGAUGGUCCUUGUUAAGAUGAAAAAUGCAACACGAAUUCUGUCAUCAACAAAAUAAAAUCAGCGUUAACCAUGAAAGCAGAGUUUACAUGAAUAAUCCAAAUGCUUGAUUUAUCUGUGUAGAUUACUACAAAUUUGGUUGGACAGUUUGUCUUCCCUGCCCUCGCUCCUCAAACCCCCAGUAACAGACCUGAAAGACCUGAAACCGUUUC